rnacentral:rRNA from 1 species
CGCAAGCCUGAUGCAGCAACGCCGUGUGAGUGAAGAAGGUUUUCGGAUCGUAAAACUCUGUCCUAAGGGAAGAAACAAAUGACGGUACCUUAGGAGGAAGCCCCGGCUAACUACGUGCCAGCAGCCGCGGUAAUACGUAGGGGGCAAGCGUUAUCCCGGAAUCACUGGGCGUAAAGGGGUGCGUAGGCGGCUUAGCAAGCCAGGGGUGAAAGGCAUUGGCUCAACCAAUGUAAGCCUUUGGAACUGUUAAGCUUGAGUGCAGGAGAGGUAAGUGGAAUUCCUAGUGUAGAGGUGAAAUUCGUAGAUAUUAGGAGGAACACCAGUGGCGAAGGCGACUUACUGGACUGUAACUGACGCUGAUGCACGAAAGACGUGGGUUACGCGAACAGGAUUACGACUACCCGUGGUAG